rnacentral:rRNA from 1 species
UACAGAGGGUGCAAGCGUUAAUCGGAAUUACUGGGCGUAAAGCGUGCGUAGACGGUCAUGUAAGUCGGGUGUGAAAGCCCCGGGCUCAACCUGGGAAUUGCAUUCGAGACUGCAUAGCUAGGGUGCGGAAGAGGGAAGCGGAAUUUCCGGUGUAGCGGUGAAAUGCGUAGAUAUCGGAAGGAACAUCAGUGGCGAAAGCGGCUUCCUGGUCCAGCACCGACGUUCAGGCACGAAAGCGUGGGGAGCAAACAGG